UCGUACUGGCCGGGGCGUUAGCGGUUCCCUGUUGCCCACAAUCCGCUAUAGUGGGGGCGAUCUCCUUUAAGAGGGCUUUUUUGUGUAUGGCAGGCUUUUAUAUUUCGGCUAUGACGGAUGGGUCUUGCGCAAUGGCAGAUCCGUGAAUCUUGUCAGGUGGGGAACCAAGCAGCAAUAAGCGGUUACUGUUAUGUGCCGCGGGGGUGCCUGUCCUGAGCCGGUUAUAAAAAUACCGCAUGUACUUAAAGUUCAAUUAAAGGACGUACGG
rnacentral:SRP_RNA from 1 species